UUGUACUAUUGGAUAAAAAAUGAGAAUAUGCUUUAUUCUUUCGGCAACAUUAAUGGAUUAUCAAAAGGCCCAUGAUCCAAAGUAUAAAGGCAACCAUAAUAAGGAAGGAGACUAUAAAAAGACACAAGAUGGGAUUGGAAAAGAGGUUCAGAAAUUAAGAAUCACUUAAUAUUUUGCCGAGAAGGAUGGAAAGUUAAACAAGUUUCUGACGCG
rnacentral:lncRNA from 1 species